UUCCGAGUGAACUCCCAAACCCCAUGUGACCUUACCUAUCGUUGCUUCGGCGGACACGCCCCGGCAGCCUCCCUCACGGGAGAGCCGGACCCAGGCGCCCGCCGGAGACCCCAAACCCUUAUGUUUUUAGUGGUUUUCUCCUCUGAGUGACACAUAAACAAAUAAAUAAAAACUUUCAACAACGGAUCUCUUGGCUCUGGCAUCGAUGAAGAACGCAGCGAAAUGCGAUAAGUAAUGUGAAUUGCAGAAUUCAGUGAAUCAUCGAAUCUUUGAACGCACAUUGCGCCCGCCAGUAUUCUGGCGGGCAUGCCUGUCCGAGCGUCAUUUCAACCCUCAUGCCCCCAGUGCAUGGCGUUGGGGAUCGGCGCGGCGUCCUCACGGACGCUGCCGGCCCCGAAAUUCAGUGGCGGUCUCGCUGUAGCCCUCCUCCGCGUAGUAGCACAACCUCGCGGCCUGGAGCUCGGCGGUGGCCAUGCCGUAAAACACCCCACUUCUGAAAGUGACCUCGGAUCAGGAGAAUCCCGGAC
rnacentral:rRNA from 1 species